GUAGGGAAUAUUGGGCAAUGGACGAGAGUCUGACCCAGCCAUGCCGCGUGCAGGAAGACGGCGUUCUGCGUUGUAAACUGCUUUUAUCUGGGAAGAAAAAGUCCAUGCGUGGAAAAUUGCCGGUACCAGAUGAAUAAGCACCGGCUAACUCCGUGCCAGCAGCCGCGGUAAUACGGAGGGUGCAAGCGUUGUCCGGAUUUAUUGGGUUUAAAGGGUGCGUAGGCGGCUAAUUAAGUCAGCGGUGAAAGUUUUGGGCUUAACCCAGAAAUUGCCAUUGAUACUGGUUAGCUUGAGUAUUGGAGGGGUACAUGGAAUUGAUGGUGUAGCGGUGAAAUGCAUAGAUACCAUCAGGAACACCGAUAGCGAAGGCAUUGUACUGGCCAAUAACUGACGCUGAUGCACGAAAGCAUGGGUAGCGAACAGGAUUAGAUACCCUAGUAGUCC
rnacentral:rRNA from 1 species